UUUUUUUCCUUAUUUCCAGCCAAGAGAGGCUCUCCUCACGAGAAAAAAGCCCUUAUUUCUUCUCAUCCCCAGCUUUGCAAAAGAGGGGGGAAGACGUUGGAGCCAUUUUCGACGGGUCCCAAGAGCAGUGGGCAGAGACCCACGAUCCCCAGCCCCUGUUGAAUUUUCUCCUUUCUCCUUUUCUUCUCCCAAAACCAGAAGCCAAGACAGGCCCCCAACCUUGCAUUUUUCUUAAGCCAGCCAUACGUCCCCCCCUUGCCAGCGCCGUUCCCUCAUUUUUCCAACACACCCAAGCCAGCCCCUCACUUUUUGAAUUUUUGUUUCUUCUCCCUCAACCGGCCACAACCUUUUUUUUCAAUCUCCCCGUCAUCUCCCCCGAAGCCACACAAAUCCUCUCCCUUCUCCUCCAAAACCGAACAACCACUUCCCCGGAUUGAUUUUUUUUGCGCCCGAGACCCCCAUCUCACUUUCUCCCUCACUGCAAACCCUCACUGUUGAAUAACCCAGUUCUUCCCCACACAAACCAGAGAGCAUAGGGAGGCCGUCGUUCCUAUCUACUUUGCCUUUUCCCUGCUCCACCUCUUGCCAGCCAAAGGCUUUUCUUCCCCUACCACCCGAGGGAAACCAGCCCCUCUCCUUCAUCCAUCUCACUAUUUUCCUCUCAUUUGCAGCCUCCCCAGCCGCCUCUCACUGGGCAAAUACAAAUCCCCCCAACUCACGGCCCCUUUGCAAAAACAAACCGGCCGCCACCCCCCCAUCCUCAGAUUUUUCCUUUCUUCUCCAUAACCGACAGCAGCCCCUGCCCUCUUCCCCAUUUUUCUCCUCCCCACAGACCAGCGGCCGGACCGGCCACCACGGAACCCAAGCCACAGCAGCGACCCCAACAGCGCCGCCCGAAGUAGAGGCUGACCCGGGGCAAAGUCGAUCUGAAGAAGGGCGAACCGAUCUGCAAAAAAUCAGAUCAAAGAAGCAGAUCUGUAACGGAAAGAAAAAAAUUAAAACGAACUGCUGUUUGUGAGUUUUUUCUCUUGUUGCAAGUGGCAGUGACCUUCACCGCCGGCGAGGAAAGGAAGAGGAGAAGGAGCCGCUCCAGCCCCCUCUGUUUUUCAGGUUUUCCAUCGGCGGCGCGUGAACCCACGCGCCGCCAGUGACGGGGGCGCGUGGGAAGACGCGCCACCAGUGUUCAGCUGUCCAGAAUAUGUUUCCAACACUGUUCCGGUGGUGCCCCAUAAAUUCCAGAUUGUGUUGGGGCUGUUUUUUUUGUAAAUUUUAAAUUAAUUAAUGUAAUUUUUAUUUUGAUGUUUUGAAUUUGUAUUGUAUAAAUGUGAUGGAAAAGAAAAGAAAAAUAAAUAAUAAAAAAAUUGUGCUGUGUGUUUGUAUUUUUUUUCUUAUGACAUUGAAUUAUAAAAAAUAAAAAAAGACAAAAAGAAUUAAUUGUUAAUUUAAAUAUGGUUAAAUAUCUUAAAGGACAAAUAAAAUCAAGUUGUAUUUUCCACGAAAAUGUAAGAACAAGUUUUUUUACAUAUAUUCGGGGAUUUAAUAACUGAUUUAUUCAAGCCUUAGAAUUUAAUUAAUACUUUAAAUUUUCUUAAAUAUGGUUAAAUAUCUCAAGGACAAAUAAAAUCAAGUUGUAUUUUCCAUGAAAAUGUAAGAACAAGUUUUUACAUAUAUUCGGGGAUCUAAUAACUGAUUUAUUCAAGCCUUAGAAUUUAAUUAAUAUUUUAAAUUUUCAAAUUACAUCAGAACACAAAGCAGCUUACCUCAGGUAGGGUGUGUUAGGGGUGCUAAUACCUUCCCUAACCACAACCAGUCCCUUACCCGCGAUCUCUGACAAGACCAGUACAUCAGGUUUCCUAGUAGCCCUCAAUGAAUUACUAGGUGGCGACUCCUAACGAACCGAUUCAAGCAAACGCAACAAAUGAGAAAAAUUGCCAGCCGAUGUCGCGCGCGGGAUUUGUUUGGGGUGCGACAAGCACCCUAAAACAAAUGCCCUUAUUCAAGUCUUUACCAAUCAGAAAUGCCUUCAUAACUAGGAGAUAGCGGUGCUAUUCCGACAUUACAAAUUGCUAGAAAGACCACCUAAUUUAACUCGUCAAUCAUCGUGCAUAGUCUACAUGAGAGUAUCCAAUAAAAAAAAAUAUCAUAGAUACCAAUAAAUAUCAAGGUAAAGAAGAAGAAGACAUAAAACAAAAACCUACUGCAGAUUGAUCUUGAUAAUGAUGCUUCUUGUAACGGAGAUUCUUCUUCUUCUUGAUAACGCCACCUGCUUUCACAUCCAGUGCUUUACCCUUCAGCUUCAGCUUCCCCCUAUCACGUUCUCGUACGCAGACAUCACUCCACCGAUCAGGAUUCAUGACCACCAGCUAUGAUUGUAGAUUUCUUUAUAAUUAUUUAUUUGCCGAAAUAAAAAUCAAACAACAAUGUUAGACAAGACAAUGGGAGAAGAACAUGAUUUGAUUUUUCAGAGAUGGAGAUUGAGGUUGAGAUGGGAUGAGGAAUUCACAUUGCGUGGGAGAGGGGUAUUAGAAAGAGUGGCAAGUUCUGGACAGAAGUCAAAGUCUCUAGAACACCUCUGAUCUUGCCAAGUGGGGACAUUAGAUUAGAGGGAACCAUCUAAUGACAUGUUGUUGUUAGCUCUACGGCCCAAAACAAUGAUUUGGCGUCUUUCCCGUUGACAAGAAAUCUCGGUUUCGUCACGGGUAAACUUUCCUUUUUAACCUUGUAGAUUCAAGUAUGUUCAAACUCCAUCCUUGUAGUCUGAACUUCUAUACUCUAACCUAUAUGGUUGGUUUUAAGAGGUUCCGAUGUGUUUCCCUAAUCAUUUAAAUAGCUAGCAAAGCUCUUUUUUCCUUUUUUUUUUAUUUAAAAUAACUCAAUUUAUCAUAUUAUAAAGAAAGCUAAAUGGUGUAACCUUCAUAAUAUUAAUGAUUGUGAUAUAUAAUGUCAUAUUAUGUUGUGUUGAAAUAGGAUAUGGUUCAAGAUAGUUGGACCUUAAUAAUAGUGAUGACUGUGAUAUAUAAAUGUGAAGAUGUCGAUAACUUGAUAUGUUUAAAAACAGGGGAAACUCUUUUAAAUUUUAGGUAAAGAUAAAAAAAAAAUACCUUUAUUUUCAUGAAAGUUUUAUGAUUUAUAUUAGUUAGUUUGCUUGUGAAAAUUCAGGAUAUUACACAUUUAUUCUAAGAUUUGGAUACUCUUCCUUAUUCUUUAACUGAUUUUUGCUUUGAAUCAUAAGCUGAAUCACUAUUAGCUUUAAUUUUUUUCUUCUUAUUUCACUAUGCCUUAACAUUAAACAACACAUCUCUAUCAACACCAAUUUUUUUACUUUUCAGAUCAUAUAGUCUAUAACCCAUUGACAUGGAGCUAUAGCCAAGAAAGAUGCAUUUAUCAAUAGUUUCUUUUAACUCGUGUCUUUUCUUCUUUGAAAUCUGAGCAUAACACACGCAACCAAUACUUUUAGAUGAUUUACUAAAGACUGCUUGACAUUUCAAGAUUUAAAUGAUGUUUAAUUGUUUAAAACUUUUGUUGGAUACUUACUGGUUAAAUAAAUCAUUGUAUUUAUAGCUUCAACCCAAAAGACUUCUUAGAAAACCCUUCCCAAACAACAUAGAUUUAACUAUUUCCAUCAUAACAUGAUUUUUCCUCUUAGAUACCCUAUUUUUCUAUGGAGUAUAACCAACUGUUAACUAUCUUUUCACACCUUUUUCUUCAUAAAACUUCUCAAAUUCACUUGACAUACUCCUUUCCAUGAUCACUUCUCAAAGCUUUUAUCUUGCAGUCACUUUUCUUUUCAAAAUAUCACUUUGAACUUCUUGAAUAUGCUGAAAACUUCAAAAGUAUACCUCAUAAAAUACACUUAAGUUGUUUAUUAUAAUCAUGAAUGAAGAGAAUAAAGUACCUUUUUAGUGAAUUUGAAGGAGUUUUUAUAGGACCACACACAUCCGUAUACACUAGCUCAAGCUUUUCUUUUGGCUUUGCAUGCUACUUUUUUAGAGAAAAAAAAAUUGUUAAUGAUGCUUCCUAGUUACAAAACCUUCACAAACAUUAUCCUUCUCUUUAGUAAUGAAAUUCCCUACACCAUAUUUUUUUGUUUUGUUGAAGUAACAUGAGCCUAAUAAAGUUCAAAUGACCAAGCAUUAUAUUCCAAAGCUAUGAGUCAUUUUCUCCUUUCAUGUUCAUUUCCACGCCAUUUAUAUGUUUCAAGUUGGGGGGAAAACACUUAUUCACCAUCUUAACACUUUUUUUUUUAUCAUAAAUACUGCAAUAAUCAUUUUUAAAAUACAGUGCAUACAUACCCAUGUCCAUAAGCUAUCCAAUAGUAAAUUUUGAUAAGCUUAUGAACAUGCAAGAUUUUACGUAUCACGUCUUCUUCUAUCUUCGUUUAAUCAAAUCCCUAUCUCUAAUAUUCACUCUAGACUUGAUAUUAAUGUCUAGAUGAUUGAAAUCCUUCCAUUUGUUAUCAUGUGAUUGCUACACGAGUUGCCAAUAUAUAAGGCACUGAUCAUUUUUCUAUUGUAAUGUAUUUUAAAAAGUAUAAAACAAACUUAUUUCUUUCAUCUCAUACCUCUUUUAAAAAUCUUGCAUGUUGUUUCCCUUUCAUUCUAAAAUAUUUUACCAUAUAGCCAAAUAUUUCUCAAUUGAAAUACUAAGUUUUUCCUCUCUUCUAGCAAUCUUUAGCAACACAUCCUAGCUUGUUAUAAAGAAAACACCUCCAUGGAGAGUUGUUCUUUGUUAGUUUAUUGUCAUAGCUUCUUCUACUUGUAAAAUUAAAUCUGCCCCCCUCCUAAAACUUUUACCCAUUAGUUUACGUUUACCUUUGCUAGUUUUUCUACCUUAUCUAAUGACUCAAAACUUCUUAUUUCUUUCAUUUGAAGACCUUUUUCUCUUGGUUUUGAUUUUCUAACAUUAAGCUUAGAUUGAAAUGCACUUUCAACCGAUUUUCUAGAUCGUUGUACCAAUUCUUAAAUAGUUAACUUUGACAAAUCCUUAGUUUCUUCAACAACAACAACAAUAGGAUUAAGUUUUCAUCCAAGUUAAUAAAAAAAUUCAUCUUUACUUUUUAUAUCAAGACUUUCAUCCCCACAUGUUCUCAUUUGAUUUACAAGUGUUAUCAACUUAUUGAAUACUCUUCAGAUGAUUCAUUCUCUUUCAAUUUCAAAUUUUGAAAUACUUUUCUAAGACUUUGUUGUUUAACAACCCUUACCUCCACAUCUACUUAUAUUCAUGUUGUAGAAUCUCACAUGUUUAACUGCCUCUCAUGAUAUUUUGAAAGAUGUGAUCAAUUAAGGUCAUCUUUAUCCUAAUAUAUGAAUCCAAGUUAGAAUCUCUUUGAAUUAAUCCAAGAACUUCAACAUUUGUACUUUUUCUAUCCUUUAAAUCUUUAACUUUGUAUUAUGAGUAGGUUAUCUAUUGAUUCAAAUUCUUUAAAGACAAUCUCUAUCAUCUCCCACAAAUCAAGUGAAGUGAGCAAAAUCUUCAUCUUUAUGCUUCAAAAUUCAUAAUUUAAUCUUGUGAAUAUAGGAGGCUGGAUAUAAUUCCAGUUUAAGUUGUUUACUUUGACAAUCUCUUGCAAAUCAACUUCUUUUAUUUAUUUCACCUCCGAACUCGUCUUCCUUCAAACUUUACUAUGAUACCACUACUUUUGGCUAAGUUAUUAACCUAUGUGUGUUCAAAACAACAUAAAAAUACAAUUUUUAGGACAAACAAAGUCUUUAAUUUUCUACAAAAUAGCAUGAACAUGGGAGAUAAAAAGAUUGUUGAAACUUAUCCCUCCUUUUCUUUUCUUUUUUAUUUUUUCUCUCACAUUCAUCUUUAUAACAUUACCAACACAUCUUGACCUUAUAUUUGUUCAUUUUAAUCAUCUUUUAAUCUAUCUCUAAUUACUUUUUUUAAAUACAAGUUAACUAACUAAAAUCAAUAUUAAUUAGUUGUCACAGUAACUUAACUAGUUACAACAACAAACUUGUUUUCAACGCAAAUAUAAUACUAGCAUGAAUACUAAACAUAUAUUGAAAUUUACAAUUGAUAUUAAUUCAAAGUUUUAGCAUGCAUACUAAUAUUAUACAUACAUAUGUGUGUGUGCACGCGCGCGUGCUUAAAUUGAAAAAAAAAAGGAAUUUAUUUAUUGAAGCACUUUAAGGUAAUGUGAUUUUUGUUAUUGUCAAAGAUGAAUUAUUUAUCUUUAAGACUUUAUUGCUUCUCACUUGUGCAACUAGGAUGUUUGCAAUAUACCACAUAAGAUUUUAACACCACCACCUUGGUUUAGAUACACUUUUAAAUAAGGUCUUUAAACUAAAGAUUAUGUAACUUAGAUAUAUUUCAACAAGAUUAACUUAAUCUCUAGAUUUGAGAUGAAAAUUAAUCGGUAAAGACACCAGAACCGAGAUAUUAUUUACGCACUUGUAUGAUCAUAAAUGAUAGAGGGAAGCCCAAUUCAUCAAGAGAUUGGGUUUUAACUCAUGUUUUGGUUUAAUUUAUUUGAACUUCUAGAUGAUGUUUCUUAAUUGGGCUUUAUUUGUUGGAUAUGAUUUAAUUAUUGUUGGUUAUUUUAUAUAAUAAACUAGAAGCACAACUAGUUCUAGUUAUGGUUUUAAUAUUUAUUUCAACUUUUCUAAAUGUUAGAUAUUUUUUUAUUAAUUGAAUAAAAAUUACAAAGUUUUAGACUUUUCCAACCCCCUUCUUCUCUUCUCCAGCGUCUUCUUCUCUUCUUUGGUUUUUUUUUUUCUUAACUUCUUCUUUUUUCUCUUCUUAACUUAUUAUUUCAAUUUCAAAUCUCUUUUGUCUGCUUAUUUAAAAAAAUUAAAAAGAAAAAAGAAGAUGCGCAUAUUGAUCAAGAAAUUACAAGAAAUAUAAAAAUUCCAAAAUAUAUUCAUGUAUUCAAUAUUAUGUACAACAUCGCUAACCGACAGGCUUUUAAGAAUGUUUUUGGAAGGGCACUUCUCUUAUGCAUAAUUGACAUGCGAUAAACCAGUAACCAAAAGAGAGAUUUAUGAAUAUGCUGACAUGCUACUUGUAUCCCCUGCUCCAAACAGGCACGGAGUAUAUUAGGGUCCCCAAGCUAAAUGAGACAACUAUCGUUAUUAAGGCAUAUACAUAAGCUCUCCAACUUUUCUGGCUUUCUUCCAUUGCAUUGUACUCAGCAAUGAAAGUAGAAACAGUACUCAGACAACCCAAAAAUCCAAAUUGUAUGCCAGUUGAAAUGGUAUCACAAGUUUUGGUAUGCACCUGCAUCACCCAAAUCUCAUAUCAUCAAAAUUUAUAGUGAAGUAUUCUUCGUAAAACUCACUCAAGCUAAAUAAGGAUGGUAGCACCACCAGGGUUAAAACAAUAAAGGGAAAAGCAAGAAUUUAAAACAUAAUAAACAAUAUGUGAUUCACAAUUAACCUAACUAACACAAAAAUAUAAUUAGCCAGAUCUAUAAUCAACAAAUUUAACUUGAAAGGUAUAGCACAUGCACGCAAAAGAAGGAGAAAAAGUUCGAUUGGGGAGAGAGAUGAAACCAUACCGCUUUCUUCACAGUAGACAGUGCUGCCAUGAUACAUGCUGCAGAAACAUUUGCAAUAAGAGUUCCAAAUGGAAUCCAUUUCAAAGAACCAGCCUUACCUAACCCACGCCCAUUAAGCCUUGCUAAGAACCACCUAAUCCACACCCCUAGGGGUGCAACUAUGCAACCCAACCAUAGCUGAGCCCCACUACUGUCGUGGUUAUACUCCUCCUUUAGCAUUGCUCCACUUAGAGCCCACAAAAGGCCUAACAUUACCACCAAUACCACCAUAACUGCAAAGUGAUGAUUAGGACUGUCCACCCUCCAACUAGCUAAAGUUGCACUUCUGUUUGACCUUUGGAAAAAUGACUUGAAACAUUUGGCCGUACCAAUACCUAAUUUUAUGGAGUAGGCUGCAAGGAAUAACCCUGAAAGAUACACACAGUGAGAAGUUACUCGUUUACUUUUUAAUGGUCUGGCAUUGCCAAGGCUCGUCUCUUAUUAAAAUUUUAAACAGGCCCAUGCACAAGAGCAAUAGUUAAGUUUCCAUGUCCCACUUAAGCUACAACUACAUCUUACAAUAAUUUGCAAGUGCCAGUUACCUAUGAGAAAGCCAACAAAAGAAAACACCCAAUGGCCACUAACACUGAGAUCAAGCAUUUUCUGAUUCCAACCACUGAACGUUGUGAGACUUCCCAAGUAACCAGUAGUUAAUCCAAUGGCCAAAUGACCAGACACUUUGGAUAUGUCUUCUUUGAAAACAACACCCCACCAUCCCAUCAAGAACGAACCGACCUAGAAGAGCACAUAUUACAAAUAAGUAAUAAAUUAAUGAGCUUCAUUUGUAUUCCAAAGUUGAAAACACAGAGUCCAAGUGUUGUCGACACAUUAUAAUUCAUUAAUCUAUGCAUCUUAAAGGUGAUAAAGACAAGUUGUGUUAUUCUUGCACUACUUUUUUAGUUUAUUGAAAGGAAUGGGACAAACAGAGUACCAGUUACCACAAGCAGAACCUCUAAUUAUGGAUUAUUCUAAAACAAUUGAGUUUCACAAUAAAAACCCAAGGUUCAACUUACAUGGCAAUUGAAUCUACCAAACACUAAUAACUUCAUAAACAAUUCUACUUAUCUAAUCAAUAUCAAGAAUCCUUUUGGUUCAAUUAAUCUUGUAUUAUGGGAAUACCAUAGAAGUAAUUUAGAAUAACAAUAUCCUGAUUAAGUUCCAUGAUGAGUAAUGACUAAUGAAUUGUCAUACCAUAACAAAGUCAAAAAGAAAUAUCCAUGUUACUUCAUCCAACCACAUCUAAACCUCAUAAAUUUUAAUGAAACAAAAGCACGCCUUACUGUUAAACAAGCUAGACAACUUAAGAUUAGGAAUGAUCUCUACUUUAAACAUAAAAAUAAUAUAGAUGCAAUAUCUCUGUAUAUUUGGGUGUAUCUGUAAGUGAGAGAAAGGGGGGGAGAGAGACCAUAUUGGAAGGUAAGUCAAGAUAUAACGGAUAGUUGUCACUUGUCACACCAGCAACAUCAGGGCCAAAGAGUUUUUGUAAUAAAUACCUUGUUAAGACCUGCAAAUCAUGUCGUAUCAAACAUUAGUAGUUUUUCAUAUUAAUCUGCACGCCCGAAAUUGCCCCCUCUCCCAGCCAUGUCUAAAUGCUCUCUUUGGUUUUGCACUCCCAUCAAGCACAAUGUUUAAUGCACACAUCAAUCAAAAAAAAAAAGGGCAAAUAAAAAAAAUCAACAUGAUAAUCAAUUAGAAACGAAAACAUAAUGCAGCAUUGUCGUAUAGAUUAUGCUGCUGGUACAACGUUUCUUUAAUAAACCCAUUUCAAGAUGAUGGCAUUGUAUAUUAAAAGUUGAAAAUAAGAAUACAUUAUUUAUAGGACAACCAAAAUCAGAUUAUACCUCCUUUGCAACCUUCACUAAUAGAGUAGACCGUUGACUCUAUUUUAAAAUUCCUUCAAUGUUAGCAGAGAACUGUGAUACUUGCUUUCAAUUGUAUUAGUAACCAAAAGAAAAACAGGACUGCUGGAUAUCUUUUUUAAGGAAUAGAUUACGCUUUGCUGUUAGAUUAUUGAUAAUGUUUAGAAGAUGUACAAAUCACUCGCCUCAACUAGUCUUCAUCUGACCUUAAAUUAUUGUUUGGAGAAGAUGAAAAUUAGCAAGAUUUUGACAACACUUCCUAGGAUCAAACAUCCUCCUAGAAAGACAGCUACUCCUUGUUGUGGUAACUAAAGAACACCAGUUUCCAACACAGCUUAUGUCAAGCGAAGAGAAUAUUUCUUGAUCUAGCUUAUUGUACAAAUGUUUCCAUGAGGCUAUGUGGUUUCAAUUUCAAAUUAUAUUCUCUUCAAGUGGUCAUGUUGAGCACUUGAAAACUAUAAGUGAUGGUAAUAAUGGAUUUAUUAAAUUCUUUUCAUUAACUUCCAUAAAAAUAUUAUCUGCCUUUUAAAAUUUUAUGGGGUUGCUGUCUGCAACAUCAGAAUUCUAACAAAACCACUUAAAAAAAGCCAACAAAAUUGACAAAUAAGAAAAAAGGAAAAGAAGCACCAGAAUCCAACAUAACAUAAGAAAAUAAAAAAUAAAAAGUCGUUAAAGUUAGGUUACCAUUUACUAAUGCCAUUUUAAAUAUUCCAAAAGUAAAAAGAAAAAGGUUGUGCGUAUUACCCCAAGAAUUCCAAAAAAUGCUAGAUACACAAGACAUGAGAUAUACUCGAGUGCUGGUGACAACACAAAUGCUUUCACCUUAUCCUGGAUCGAUAUAGCAGCAAGAAAGCAAUGAAUUAUCAGAUUAACAGUCUUAGACAAGUAGCAGCAGUUUGAUCUUGUAUCAUAAGACAAACAACCAUUAAAGACACAAACCCAUAUCCAUGAGGCAAUAAACCAAACAAAUCCUAUAAGCGCUAAUGAAAUAGAUAAUAAUGAUCAUUUGAAUUCUCACUUCUUGUUUUUCACUGGAGCAGACCACUACAUCAGGUGAGAUAGGAGACAUGAUUUCUUCUGGCGAAGGUAACACAUGAGAUCUUGUAUUCAAAGCUGUGGAGUCAUGAGCCCACAACUCAUUCGAUCGUAGGAAGUUAUCAUUCGAAAUGGGAAACACCAUACCAUUUUCUAACCCGCUGUCAAUGGAUAAGCUGAUGCUGCCACUUUCAUUAUGACUGUUGCUAUGAAGAGCCCUGUCACCAAUAUCACCUGCCUCUGACACGUUUUCACUUUCAAUAUCAUCAUCUACCUGGAAGGAUCUGCUGCGUGAUAAACUUAAAAAACGUCUUCUCACUGAAGAGACUACGCUGCUCGUCUGACGAAAUGAUUCACUCAUAUUGGGUUCAGACUCAUCAGUUCCGCGAUCCAUAACUCAGACUAAGACAACAGUAUUCAAUAAAUUAAAUCAGUAAAAGUCAAUCAACCACCGCCCUUCUACUUGUGAACUAUAUAGAACUCUUCAUUUCAUAUAUUGAUAUCCAACUCCCGAGUCAAUCCAAAAACAGAUGCAAUGAUUGCAACAACCCAGAUAAAUGAGAAUGGCAGCAAAGAAAUAAUUUAUCCCCAACAAAGAACAGCUUGCUUGCUUUCAGGGCCUUUUUGACAUUAAAGUAAACUAGAGAUUAGUUAUGACUGCUUGCCCUCCGAGCAUGCUAAGCAUAGCCAACCAAGAAAAGAAAUUGUGAAAUCAAAUCACGAGAGAAAGCUAACUUUAUUAGACCAUUCAUUUCAAUCCAAAUGGAACAGCAAAAGGCAAAAAAGAAAGACAGGGAGUGUUGAGAAGAGUCACCCUCGUGGAAAAAGAGACGGGUGAGAGCUGAGAAAAGGGAACGCUGCUGCUUCGGGAGGGACGAGGGUAAGAGUGUUCUUCAGGCUUUCUUGGUUUUACCAAGUGUAUGAAUUAAUUCAAACACGCACGGAAGAGUUGGAUCAAAAGCGAAUUCAUUGAUGGCCGUUGAAACAAUCUAUCAGCCGCGUGUUCAUUCAAAGGAUGAUGAGAUGAGAUAGCGAAAGAGAAGGAGAAAAACGAUAGCUAUGGCGGUUUAGGCGGUGCAAUAACUGGAACCCUUCGUUUAUUUAAGGCCUCUGCAGCGACUCUUUUACAUUACUUGCUAACACGGGCUAGGAAAAUGGUCCCUUGCCUUGGCACACUAUCUCUGACUUUUUGCCUCUCUUUGCAGAUACAGAUCGUAGAAAUAUUGUUAUUUUGCCUCUCUUUGCGAACUCGCCUUUGGCUUCUUUAAAAUUAUAUUCCAAGUGGACCAAUACCAAAAAAAAAAAAAAAAAAACCUCCAUCCCUCAUGUCGUGAUCAAAAGACAUGUGACGUGAAUUAACAAGUCGAUGGCUACUUGCAUGGUUAGCGACCCACAAGCAACCUAAGCAAAAAUCAACCUCUUGAUACGUAGAAAAAAAAAAAUUCAACCUAUUGAUGCGUAGAAAUAGUAAUGAUUGCAAAAAUCAAACUAAAUUUACUUUCCAAAUCCCAAAAGAGAAGAGAGAGGGGAUUCUGACUUUAUGAGUAUCAGCCACACGGGCUUCAAUAAUUUAAGUGGUGUAUAUAUAUAUAUAUAUAUAUAUAUAUAUAUAUAUAUAUAUAUAUAUAAUGACUAGAUCAUUUUCCGGUUGUUCUUGAUGCAAUGGUAACAGGGACAUCUUCAAGAGCUCAUUGUUCUAGGAUACAACACGUGGAUUCCGAGCCGACUUAUUAAAUUAAGUUACUAGAUCAUUCGGUAGGAUUAGCUUUUUUUUACAUAAAAAAAAUAACUAAAUAUUGCUAAUAUUUUUUUAAAUAAAAAAAAUUUAAAUCAUGUAAGAAUUAAUUUAAAAUAACUCAAUUACUUUGGUAAAUUAAAAGAUAACCUAGAUAAUCAGUAAAAAUAUAAUUUAACUCAAAUUAAAUAUUUAAAAUAAGAUUUUUUUAAUAAACAUUAAGGUGAUAAUAUAUUUAAUCGAUUCGAAUUAAUUUGAGCUAAUCUAAUUCAGAGAUCAUAAUAACUUAAUAAAAAAAAUUAAAACAAAUUACAAAAAUUAAUUUCUAAUAAAUGCAAUGUUGAAGGAUAUAACAUGAAAAAAUUAAAAAAAAAACUAAAAAAGAUAACUUUAGUCAAAUCGGGCUAACCUGUUGAAUCCGUAGCCUAGGUCAUGAGACCAUAAUAAUCUAAUAAAAAAUAAAAUUUAAAAAAAAUUCUUGAAUUCUAAUUCCAAAUGAACCCAAAGUCAAAGAAAAAAAUUGAAAAUGAAAAAAAUCAAUUAGAAAUCAAAAUCUUAUUAAACUUGCAGGUCAUGAAUUUAAAAUAACCUCAAAAAAUAUAAAUAGAAAAAAUUAUAAAACAUAAUCCCUAACAAAUUUAAUAAUGCAUUCUGUAUGGAGGAAAUGAUGCAAUUAUAUGCUCGUAUUUUGAGGUUCUUCCUCUAUGUUUGUGUUUACAAAUUAUGGACUAUUAAAAGCAUUUACGUGCUUAAAAACAGAAAACUACCGUAAAAAGUUAUCUCCUUACAUCAAAACUUAAAUAAUUAUUUUGUAGCUAUAAUAAUAACGAAUAAUAAUAAUAAUAAUAAUAAAAGAAAUUCUUAAUUAUUACCUACAAAUAUUCAAGUAUUUUUUAUUUGGAAAUAUAUCAAAAUAAUAUUUUAUUAUUUUUAAAAAAAAAAUUAUUUUUGAUAUCAAUAUAUUAAAAAGAUAUAAAAAAAUUAAAUAAAAUUAAUUUAAAAUAUAAAAUUUUAAAUUUUUUAAAAAUAUUUUUAAAACAUAAAAAAUAAACUAGAUAUUCUAGCAGGCCUUUAUUCCCCGGGACAAUUUUUUAGCCGUCACGGAUCAACACAAAUACAGAUCGUAGAUAUAGUGAUAUUUUGCCUCUCUUUCCGAACUCGCCUUUAGCUUCUUUAAAAUUAUAUUCCAAGUGGACCAACACACACACUCAAAAAAAAGUAAAAAAAAACAGAGAGAGAAAGAGGAAAACCUCCACCUCUCAUGUCGUGAUCAAGAGACAUGUGACGUGAACUAACAAAGUCGAUGGCUACGUGCAUGGUUAGCGAGCCACAAGCAACCUAAGCCAGUGAAAAUUGAUCGUCCUUGGCAUGGCAUCUCUUGGGGUCCUUGUCUCGAUCCCAAGCUGAUCCUACCGAUUCUCUGAAUGGAGUUCAGGCAAGAGAAAUAGGCACCACCGGCUGCAGCGUGGCGCUUGCAAUCAACCUUGCUCGCCGAGCCAGAUUUUGAUAAAAACAUGUUGAUGAGCUGAAUGCGUCAUUUAUUCAGAAAGUGGCUCGGUUCAGGCCCCAGCUACGCUGCGUUGAGCUGAAUGCGUCAUUUAUUCAGAAAGUGGCUCGGUUCAGGCCCCAGCUACGCACAAGAUGGGGAGGUAAGGUACGUUUUUUGUGAUGGGCUCUAGCAUGGCCAUAGCCCAUGGUAUGCAGUGAGCUGAAUUCACUCAAAUUCAGCCCGAGAAUCAAACCUUGGAAUUGGCCUCGAAUUGUGUACGGUAAGUAAUACAGAGAAAGUAUUUUUUUUUUUAAUAAAAAAAGCAUCUUCAGUUUCUCAAAUUUCAAGGUUUUCUCAACCCAGAUUAAUAUUAAUAUCCCCAUUCCUUGCAAAAUCAGAAUAUAACUGAGAGUAAAAGAGAGAUGCCAGAUCAAACAAUUUUACACAGCAAACAAUCUUAUACAAGUGCAUAAUAUUGGGUUUUCUAAAACAUUUAUGAUCUAAAUUUAUUUAAUUAAAUUUCUACUUGAUUUUUUUAGAUUUAGAAUUAUAAUUUUCUAUUUAAAUUCAUUUUAGUUCUCAAUUUUUAAAACUUAUUUACAAUCAAGCCAUACUUGAUUAAUUAUUCUAUUUUAAUUUCUAACUAAUGGUUUUUAUGUAGAAUUUGAUCGUAAGUAAAUUUUAAA
rnacentral:lncRNA from 1 species